UGGAAGAGAAAGGAAAGCCCCACAGAGCAGCUGUGCACAGAGAUGGAGACAGGAUUCACCCUGCCUUGUUAGUCAGGAACAGGACGGCUGUCCUUAUGUAACAGGAGCUCCGAGAUGCUCUGAUCUCCCCCAAGGAGGCAUGUAAUUACAGAGCCGGGUCCCUCCCUUGGUGCGGAUGCAAGGAAACCCUCUGGAUGGGAAAGCGUCCCGCAGACAUCAAUGCCAGGCGGCGAGGUUUUAUGAUCAAUUCAAGUUCUAAUGCUGUAUUUGCGUAUGCUGUGAAUUGCCCUGAGUUUUCUGCUGAGGAGAGCGUGGGAGGAAGCUGGCAUGAUACAGCCUGAUCUCGACAGAUCUCAGAAGCUAAGCAGGUCGGUACUUGGAAGGGAGACCACCAAGGAAGAUUCUGCAGAGGAAGGCCACGGCAAACCACCUCUGCUUCUCA